rnacentral:lncRNA from 1 species
AGAAGAACAGGCCUAUGUGUGAUAAAAAAGAGGAAAAGGCCUGGAAGAAGUGGGUUUUGGAUUAUUUUUGCCAGUUUUGUGUCUCGAUGUGAGGACAUUUUAUAUACACCUCUCCCCUUCCUCUCCUCCAUCCUCCCAGCUGUGCUGCUGGGUCUCGCAGCACAUCAAAGUGGAAGGAUCUCAACGCCUGUCUCAGGAGACAUUGCACAGUUCAAAGUUCACAGACGUGAAUUGUGAAGAUUCUUCUAGAUGGAAAUAUCUCAGCUCAUAAUCCUCGAAAGAAUAAGUGCCUGGAGCUU